AUUUGGGUUAAUUACGCGGUGUUCUAAUUUUACUCUAAUUCUUCGCCAUGAAAGCUCUGUUUUAAAUGAAUAUUUAAAAUAGAGAAAUAUAGAUUUUUUUUUUUUUUUCUUUGCGGAUUUAUUCCUGCAUGCAGUAUACGAGCUUCAGUCUGAAGGAUGCCAUCAGAUCAUCACGAGGUGAAUGGGGGCCUGAGUGAUAGACCGAGAACCUUUCAUCUCACCCAGUGAGUGUAAAUAGCUGUCAUGUUUGAUUGGCGGUUUGACGUGCACGUGAUGCCCUGGAAGAGGGGAAGAAAUUCAGUGAGGACGCGGUGCAUGACGGUUUCUCUGUCUGCAAACUAAAGAGGUUGUGCGUGCCAGCAGAAACCAUUCAUGAAAGAUGCACCCCUGAGGCUUACAGAGGUACACUCCAUCAUCUGCUAAGCAGGUAAUAGGAAAUGGCACUGACCCCUCCUGAUCCCCCCGAUUACCUUCGUGAAGCGUGAAUGUGGUAUGGAAUCACACAUCAGGAGACGAGUUGUAAUUAUUUCUGCGAUGCCAUCAGCAUGGAUCAAUCACUCAGGGAGGCUGCGAGUGGAACGCCGCUCACAGCCAUAGAUGGAGCCAGCAGCGACCAUCUUUGACUGACAGCUUUGGUAAUUAAGUGAUUGUAUAGACCCCUCCGACUGUUAUAACAACCUUGUCAGGGCCAGCCUGUGUUUGGAACACACUCAAAUCAAUGUGUUCUCCACUCCCUAAGCAUUUCUGAUCAUGUACCUCAGACAGAAGAACUAUUUGCAUGGACGCUGCUUUCCUUUGAUAAUUGACAUGGCAGUAAAAGAGAUUUUAAAACACACAUUUAAAAAAUAUACUUAACAUUAACAUUUUUAGCAUAUUUGUUUCUCA